GGAAGAGGUGCAGUCGACGUUUCGGGCCGAGACUCUUCGUCAGGACUAACUGAAAGAAGAGAUACACAGGAGGCCAUGGAUAGACAUAUCAGAAUGGGAAUGGGACGUGGAAUUAAAAGGUGUGGCCACUGGAAGAUCCUGCUUUCUCUGGCAGACAGAGCAUUGGUGUUCAGCGAAACGAUCUCCCAGUCUGCGUCGGGACUCACCAAUAUAUAGAAGGCGUAUCGGGAGCACCGGACACAGUAUAUCACCCCAGCCAACUCACAGAUACCUAGCACGCAAGUGGGAAUCCCACCUCCUCUUCUCUUAAUGGUAAUGUGUAAAAAUGAUCUCCAACAUACAAGAAUAUUGCAC